UAAUUAGAAAAAUGAAAGUCCAAGUAAAUAUUCUUAAAAAAUUUAUAUUCAAGCUCAAAUUAAACAUGAUCUAAGCAACCUAACCUAAUUAAGAUCUAAACUAAACAAGCUAUGAAAUACAUAAACAUAACUAUUGUCAACAUAAAAUUUACUAAUCAUUUUAUGAUAAAAAAAGCAAGAAAAACAAGAGAACCUUAUCUAAAAUAUUAUAAGUCCAAAGCUUUCUCUUGGUGGUCUUUAAGGGACCAAAAACAAACUUCAUCCACUCAUAGCCACACCCCUAUCGUUAUUAAAAUUGCCAAUAACCAACCCUUAUUUUACACAACUCUCUCACUCUAAGGCCUUCCACUCUUUAUGGUUCACUGACAC
rnacentral:lncRNA from 1 species